UGGUCAAGCUACAAAGGGCUCACGGUGGAUACCUUGGCACACAGAGGCGAUGAAGGACGUGUUUACCUGCGAUAAGUCUCGGGGAGCUGGAAAAACGCUUUGAUCCGGGAAUUUCCGAAUGGGGCAACCCCUAGAACGGCCAGCUGAAUCUAUAGGCUGGCGCGAGCC
rnacentral:rRNA from 1 species